UACGCAGGGGGCGAGCGUUGUUCGGAUUUACUGGGCGUAAAGGGCGCGCAGGCGGCUCAUUUUGUCAGGCGUGAAAGCCCCGGGCUUAACCUGGGAACUGCGUUUGAUACGGAUGGGCUAGAGUUCGGGAGAGGAGAGUGGAAUUCCCAGUGUAGAGGUGAAAUUCGUAGAUAUUGGGAAGAACACCGGUGGCGAAGGCGGCUCUCUGGACCGAUACUGACGCUGAGGCGCGAAAGCGUGGGGAGCAAACAGG
rnacentral:rRNA from 1 species